UACGUAGGGUGCAAGCGUUGUCCGGAAUUAUUGGGCGUAAAGGGCUCGUAGGCGGUCCAUCGCGUCGGGAGUGAAAAGCUGGGGCUUAACCCCAGUCCUGCUUCCGAUACGGGUGGACUAGAGGUAGGUAGGGGAGAUCGGAAUUCCUGGUGUAGCGGUGAAAUGCGCAGAUAUCAGGAGGAAUACCGAUGGCGAAGGCAGGUCUCUGGGCUGACACUGACGCUCAUGCACGAAAGCGUGGGGAGCAAACAGG
rnacentral:rRNA from 1 species